UUACGGAAUCCACGGGAUUUUCCCGCCCCGCCCAAGUCUUCCUUCCCGUUUCGUCCUCGAGGUGAUCGGUUGGGGUGAUGGCUCGAUCCAAGCACAGCCUCGCACUUCUCACCUUCAUCACCUUUGGGAUGAUUAUAGGCUGGAUCUCGUGAGUGCAGUUGAGGAGGAAACAUGGUAAAGGGGUUUUUCGCGAAACCAAUUGAAGAGGAUGCUGUUGUUUUCAGGAAAAUGCUCAAGUUCCAGUUGGUUAACUGUAGACAGAAGAAGAGUUUUGGCUUGACAAGGAUCAUCAUUUGGUCCUUCAGUUUAAAGGGGAUGAUGGAUUGGCAAUGAUGUGUUUGUCCUUAUUACCUUCCUAAAUAGACUAGGGUUCUCCACAUGAAGUUCUUGUGCGAGUGAAAGUUUUUGUAUCAGUUUCUGAAAGAUUUAUCAGCACUCUAUCAUCAUGAGGAAAACUUUAUUGUUUUUGACCUCAUUUAAAGAAGAGAACUGCAACUCUCAAACUAGAUGUGUUGCGAAUGGAGUUAAAUGUUUGCUUUGCAAAGCUGAA